UCUUUUUUGAGAUGGAGUCUCACUGUGUCCCCCAGGCUGCUGUGCAGUGGUGCAAUCUCAGCUAAAUACAACCUCCACCUCCUAGAUUCAAGCAAUUCUCCUGCCUCAGCCUCCCAAGUAGCUGGGAACACAGGUAUGCGCUACCAUGCCCGGCUAAUUUUUGUAUUUUUAGUAAAGACAGGGUUUCAUUAUGUUGGGCAGGCUGGUCUCGAACUCCUGACAUCAAGUGAUCGACCCGCCUUGGCCUCCCAAAGUGCUGGGAUUGUAGGCAUGAGCCAUCUCCCCUGUCAGAUGACUGUAUUUUGUUAUACUAUUAUUUGGUUUCAGGUCCACUAUGUCCAAAAUGUCUGGGGAAGUGGAGGUGGUGAGCAGGGAGAAACUGGGAUCUGAGCUGUGCCAUUGCUUGCGUGGUACCCUGGUGCUGUGGGCAGAAACACAGAUAUCUGCCUGGUGUGAUUGGGUGGGCAUUUGUGAUAGUCUUUAGGGCUGUCCCUUGAGUGCUUCUGUGUCUUAUGGGUACAAGACAGGAUUGUCCCCUUCCUUUGAGUUUGUUGUAGUCAUGACCUGCUUUGGUCAAUAUAAUAGAUGAAUAAGUGACAUCUGUUACUUCCAGUUGCACUUGGGGAAAGCUGGUGCUUAUUGCCUUGGCCCCUGAUACUGUUGUGAGGGUGUCUUCUCCAUCAUCUUGGGAUCCAGAGUGAGCACAACAUAGUUCAGCACCCCCGACACACAUGCAGUGCAUCUAUACAAAUAACAGUCACAAUAAUGGAAUGGUAUGUUGCUGUCUUAAGUCCCUCAUACUUUUUUUUGUUACCACAGCAUAACCCAGCUCAUCCUGACUGAUGCCACCAUUUCCAGAUAAGAGAAAUGCGACUGAGAAAGAUUAAGAUAUUUUCUUAAGAUUGGACAUUAUGUUCCUACCCACUGUGCUUGCCUUAUAGUUGAAAGAGAGUUUAUUUAAGCACAGAGAUCAAGCAAGAGUGGAGCACAGGACACACUUUCAGGUUGCCUUGGGGACUGCUCUGUAGAACAAAAAAUCAAACUCAAGAUUUUAAGGAAAACAAGUACAAGUGAAGAGAAGGCAUGAUUACCAAAGUUGUUGAUCUAAUUCUCAUUGAUUUACAGAAAUAACAGUGGCUAACGAUCAGCUAUACAUUGUUGAAUUAUAGGAUGUAUGGCAUUUAAAAAUGUAUUUAUUUAAAACUAAUUUUUUUUAGAUUUUUGAUGGAUUUAGGGGUACAGGUGCAGUUGUGUUACAUGGAUAUAUUUUGUAGAGAUGAAAUCUGGGCUUUUAUGUACAACUACCCAAAUAAGAUACAUUGUACCCAAUAGGCAGCAUUUCACUUUCACCCUCAUUCUAUCCUCCCACUGUUUGGAGCCUCCAAUGUCUAUCAUUCCACUCAGUAAGUCCAUGUCCAUGGUUUAGCACCCAUGUAUAAGUGGGAACAUGCAGUUCUUGAUUUUCUGUUUCUGAGUCAUUUCACUAAGGGUAAUGGCCUCCAGUUCCAUACACAUUGCUGCAAAAGUCAUAAUUUCAUUCACUUUUAUGGCUGAAUAGUAUUCCAUGGUGUAUAUCUACCAGAUUGUUUUAUUCAAUGAAGUGUUGAUGGACACUUAGGUUGAUUUCACAACUUUGCUAUUCUGAACUGUGCUACAAUAAACAUACAAAUGCAGAAGGCUUUUUUAUAUAAUGAUUUGUUUCCUUUUGGGGGGUACAUGUGCGGUAGUGGAAUUGCUGGAUUGAAGGGUGGUUCUAUUUUUAGUUUUCUAGAAAUUAUCAUACUGUUUUCCAUAGAGGUCAUAUGAGUUACACAUCAACCGAUACAUAUUUUCCAACAUCUUGUUUUUUGACCAUUUUUGAGACAGGGUCUCCCUCUGUUGCCCAGGCUGAAGUGCAGUGGCAUGAUCAUAGGUCAGUGCAGUCCCAACCUCUUGGGCUCAAGGCGUCCUCCUGGCUCUGCCUCCUAAGUAGCAAGGACUACAGGCCCACACCACCACACGUGGAAUUUUUUUUUUUUUUUUUUUUUUUUGCUUGUUGAGACAAGGUCUCACUAUGUUGCCCAGGCUUAUCUUGAAUGCCUGGACUCAAGUGAUCCACCCACCUCAGCCUCUCAAAAUACUGUGAUUACAAGCAUGAGCCACUGCACUUGUCCGUUUUUUGACUGUUUAAUAACAGCCAUUGUGACUAGUAUAAGAUGGCAUGGCAUUGUGGCUUUAAUUUUCAUUUCUCUGAUACUUAAUUAUGUUAAGUAUUUUCAUAUGUUUGCCGUUUGUAUGUCUUUUAUUUAAAAAUGUCUGUUCAUACCCUGUGGCCACUUUUUAAUGGGGUUAUUCUUGUUUUUCUUGUUGAGUUGUUUAAGUUCCUUGUAGAGUCUGAAUAUUAGCUCUUUGUCAGAUACACUGCUGGCAAAUCUUUUCGCCCAUUCUACAGUUUGUUUGUUUACUGAGAAUUAUUUCUUUUGCUGUGCAGAAGCUUUUUACUUUUAUUAAGUCCCAUUUCUCUGUUUUGGUUUUUGUUGUAUUUUAUUUUGAGGACUUCAUCAUAAAUUCUUUGUCUAGACCAAUAUUUAGAAGAGUUUUUCCUAGGUUGUCUUCUAAGAUUUUUAUAGUUUCAGUUCUUACAUUUAAGUCUUUAAUCCACCUUGAGUUAAUUUUUGUACAUGAUGGAAGGUAAGAGGCCAGUUUCAUGAAUCGACAUAUGGCACACCAAUUAUCCCAGCACCAUUUAUUGAAUAGAAUGUGAUUUCCCUUUAUAUAAUUUUGUCAACUUUGUCAGAGAUCAGUUGGUUGUAGCUAUGUGGCUAUAUUUUUCCGUAUGUGUCUCUUUCUAUAACAUGACCAUGCUGUUUUGGUUACUACAGCCAUACAAUAUAAUGUGAUCUGUCCAAUUUUAUUCUCUUUGCUUAGCAUUACUUUG
rnacentral:lncRNA from 1 species